AUGGCGCGGAAGAACAGAGGCGAGAAGACCAAAUCCAGAAAAAUCCCACCUUCCUCCACCUCGGUUCCUCCCCCACCGCCGAUGGAGCCACAGGCCAAGGCCGCGAAAGCUUCGAUCGACGUCCUCGCCGACUUCGACGUCGGCAGCAUUCUCCGCCGUCUCUCCCUCGCCGACCCCCGCCGUGUUCGUUCCCCUCGACGCCUCCUCCCCUCGCCUCUCUCUCGACUUUGCUCCGGACGCCUUCCGCUUCUUCCUCUUCGACUCGCAUCAAGGCCUCCUACUUUUCGAGCCGGCCGACGAGUUCCCCAAGAAGAUGAUCCCCCGGGAAAGCUCUGCUGUGAGGUUCUCUGCUUCGCCAUCGACGGCGGGCACCCUCGUGCCUGGGUGGCGUCCGUCGACAACGGCGACUGCAGCUGGCGCGCGCUCCCGCGGGACGAGGAUGUCGUGGUCGAGUUUGAUCCCUAUUGGUUCGAGGGACGCUGCGUGCAUGCCGGCGGGAAGAUCUACUGGCACAUCUGCAACUCUUGGCGCCUGCUCGUGCUGGACCCUGCCACACUGAAGUUCUCCUGCCUGCUGGUGCCGGACGCUAUGGCAUGCGGAUCCUGCAAGUACCGCAUCGGGGAGACGCCAGAUGGACGGCUUUGCUUGGUGACCGACGGCGAGAAACAGCUGCAGCUCUGGCUGCGCGGGGAGGGCAGGUCGAGUGACAACGGUUGGCUUCUGGAGAGGAGGAUCGUGUAUUUGAGUGUGGUGUGCGACAUGGUUCCUGGCCUGCACAGGGACACCAAGCUCAGGACCCUUAGGGUUUGGCCCAGCGACAUGGACGUCGGUCGCACAGAGAAGAAUUAG
rnacentral:rRNA from 1 species